GAGAUCCUUCCUUUUGGAGUUUUCUACUGUGAGCCUAGGACACAGUUUCUGCUAAGCAGUGUUGUACAGAGCCAAGGCCAUUCUUGGUGGAGGGCCCAAGGAGCAGGGAGGGUGCAGACCUAGAACAGCUGACUUAAACUGGCCAAAGGGAUAUUCCAUACCAUAUGGCAUGUGCCAGGAGAGUUUUGAAGGAGUUUGCCAGAUUAUGGCCCAGCGCAAUGUGUGGAGGUCUGGUGGGAUCCUUGCAGACAAAUAACUGCUCUGGGACAAGGCUAGGGCGAGAUGCCAUUACAAGCUGUCUUGAUUUAAACUUUGGAUUAAGCAGAAGAAGAUGGAGAAAAGUGCCUUGUGUGUGCGCUGGGGAGAAAAAUGUUAGACCGUCUUAAUUGCAUACAGUUCAACUGCAAAGAUAAAUAUCCAUUACUAGUUUCUUUUUUUCUGGGUGAGAUUCUGAGCACUUAAAUCAGGAACACAUUUUUCAUGUUAAAUUCUCAAAAUUCAACGCCUCUAUUUUUCUCCCAGAAACAUGGGUCUUUGUGUUUCCCAUUAAAAAAUAAGCUGCUUGGAUUCCAACACAUUUCAGGCAGUACUUUUUCCUUGGUGUCCUUUAACUAACCUGUAACAGCAUGCUCAUUGUUGUUCCUGUAUUUUGUCAGAUUUCAGAAGAGCAGUGUCUCAGCUUCUGAUGGCGAAAACAAAUCCUCUUCCUAAUCAGAUAGUCUUUAUUUGCUUGUUUUGUGAUUUGGCUGGGCUGUUCACCUAAAAACCUAUUGCAUUGUUCUUGACCACAUUUCAUGAGGUGCUCAUGUUUCUGCAAUCUUUCAAUAAAACCCAUGGGAAACAGGUGGUCAAACAGGAUGUCCUAAAUUAACAUAGUAUCAGAUUUGAGACUAUUUAGAGGGAAUAUGAAGCUAAUGCAAUAAAAACUAUUUGUAAACAAUAUAUGAAUAAAUGUAAUUAAACCAAUAAAAUUACUUAGGGUUUUUUCAUUGAAAUAGUGAGAUAUUUUCUUCAUAUAUAUAAUCAGUGGGGUCCUAGGGACAGCUGAGGAGUAACCUGAAUAUUUCCAAAUUUAAUAGCAG